GGAGAGAUGGCUGAGUGGUUUAAAGCAACGGUUUGCUAAACCGUAAUACUUAAACCUGAAUUCAAGUAUCGUAGGUUCGAAUCCUAUUCUUUCCG
rnacentral:tRNA from 1 species